rnacentral:rRNA from 1 species
UACAGAGGGUGCAGGCGUUAAUCGGAUUUACUGGGCGUAAAGCGUGCGCAGGCGGUUCGUUGUGUCGGUGGUGAAAGCCCCGGGCUUAACCUGGGAAUGGCCAUGGAAACUGGCGAACUGGAGUGUGGCAGAGGGGGGUGGAAUUCCGCGUGUAGCAGUGAAAUGCGUAGAGAUGCGGAGGAACACCGAUGGCGAAGGCAGCCCCCUGGGCUAGCACUGACGCUCAGGCACGAAAGCGUGGGGAGCAAACAGG